rnacentral:rRNA from 1 species
UCGUUAUUAUUGGGCCUAAAGCGUCCGUAGCCGGCCCGGUAAAUCUCUGGGUAAAUCGAUGGGCUUAACUCAUCGAAUUCUGGGGAGACUGCUGGGCUUGGGACCGGGAGAGGUCGGAGGUACUACAGGGGUAGGGGUGAAAUCCUGUAAUCCCUGUGGGACCACCGGUGGCGAAGGCGUCCGACCAGAACGGGUCCGACGGUAAGGGACGAAGCCCUGGGGCGCAAACCGGAUUAGAUACCCGGGUAGUGCCAGGGUGUAAACGCUGCGCGCUUGAUGUUAGUUGGGCUCCGAGCCCAACUAGUGUCGGAGAGAAGUUGUUAAGCAAGCUGCCUGGAAGUACGUCGCAAGAC